UACGAAGGGGGCUAGCGUUGUUCGGCAUAACUGGGCGUAAAGCGCACGUGGGCGGAUUGUUAAGUCGGGGGUGAAAUCCCGGGGCUCAACCCCGGAACUGCCUUCGAUACUGGUAAUCUUGAGUCCGAGAGAGGUGAGUGGAAUUCCGAGUGUAGAGGUGAAAUUCGUAGAUAUUCGGAGGAACACCAGUGGCGAAGGCGGCUCACUGGCUCGGUACUGACGCUUAGGUGCGAAAGCGUGGGGAGCAAACAGG
rnacentral:rRNA from 1 species